AGAGGGUGUGGGGUGGGCUAACCAACAGCCGCAGUACCAGUACCACGGACUGGAAUCCUGCCUGCAUCUGCCCUCCCGAGGACAGCGCAGCCCACAAGGAUAAGGGUACAUCUGGCUGGUGUCUUGAUCACUACAAAUGCUAGUGACCAAGACAGAGGAUCUGCAGAUGACUUGUCUCCCCCACCCAGGGACCAGGUAAGAGACCUAUGCCCUAUGCCCCAGGAGGAGAAGCAGGCUAGUGGCAGAGCCAAAGUCAUAGGCAUGAUCCCUGACUCAGUCUGCAUCAGGAGAGAUGCACACAUCAAGGAAGCAGUCUCCUCUGACCCCAUACUGCUGCUAAUGCCAUCUUACCUUUCUCAGUCAUUGGGGGGAAGGGGGUAUGUGAGGGGACUCCUGCAGGACACAAAGAUGUAUGCCUGAGCAAACUGGUAAUGCAUGGAACAUUGAGAACCGCUGGCUACAGAUGCUGUGGGAGCCAGUGCCACUGAUCUCAGCCAAGAGGCUAAGAAGUGAUGAGCGCGCACACACACGAGCCAUCAGGACGCAGAAGUAAGACUGCUAUUUAACCUCAGAAUCCACUUCGGACUGCUAUGUGUCUUGAAAAUUUCAGCAAUGGAUGCAAGGAUAUUUCCUGAGGUCAUGGAAACUGGAAAAGCCAGUGGAAACCAGGCAGACACAGUUCAUAAGGAGAAUACAGUGGAUCUCUCAAACAACCCCAGACAUCCCCCUACCACGAUGUCAAGGCAAAGGAGUCCACUGAAUUGUAUUCACCAGAUGGUCAGGCUACAGGGACACAGCCAUUCUGUCCCUCUGCUCAGGACAACUGUGAAAAGCUCCUCUCUGGGAGACUGGCAACAUUAGAAAGAUUAUAAACGUGGCCACUGAGACUGUAGCUCAGUACUGGCCCAUUACUGGAGAAGACCAGGCCCACUGUUGCAUUUUAAACACUGCAUAUCCUUCAACCCUCUAAACCUUUCAGUGCCUAGCCUACACAUGUGUGCACACCUGCACACUUACAAAAUGCACUCACACCCGACUGAUCAGCAGAGCUGAAGCCCAGAAAUAAGAAGCAUUUUUUUCAAUAGAUGGUUAAGGAAACUGUGGAACAUGUGUACCACAGAAAGUGGGUGUUCUUGGUGGACUGCUAUAGACAGAAGUGAGGAAGACCAAGUCCAGAAGAAAUGCUUGGACCGUUUGGAUAAACAGCAUGGGUUGCACAAGCACCUGCCUGUCUGUUCAGAAGUGAGAAUGGGCUCCCUCCAGCAGACAGAAGAAAAGACUGGAGAACAACUUAACCCAAGCCAAGCUCCCCAACUCCUUAAAUAAUCCAUACGGCAACUAGAAAAUGAUCUAGUCAUGAAGGGUUUGGCAAGAUGGAACAGCAGGUAAAAGCGCUUACCACGCCAGCCUGACAACAAGAAUCAGGUUCUUGGACCCCCCACAUUCAAAGGAGAGCACAGAGGAAGCAGCCCCCACCCCCAGCUGUGUCACGAACGCUGCUGUGUGCAUGCGUAUAUGCGUAUACAGCACACAAUAAUAAAAAAAAAAAUAGAAAAUGAGA
rnacentral:lncRNA from 1 species